UAUAUAUAUAUUUUUUUUUCUUUUUCUUCUCUCUUUCUUCAUCAUCACACCAAACGAUAACGCAAUAUUUCCAACCCCCCUUUUUUUCCUAUGUGAUUCUAAUCAUUCCUCUCUUUCCAAUAUUGCCGUUAUAGACUAAAACUCGAUGAUAUCCCUUAUAUAUUUAUGCGUUGCUAGCGUACGUGUAAUGGUCCUCGCUUAAAAUACAUACUUGUAUGACACGAGAGUUGUAACGUUAAAUUGCGUUACCUUAUUAAUAAAAACGUGGAACGUUUUUAUCGCCGCAAGAAAAUUCCAAUGAAGGAAAGAAGACACAUGUGCGUGACGAAGAAAGUUAUGAAGAGAGAGAGAGAGAGAGAGAAAAGAAAGAGAGACAGAAACAAUUGGAAAGACAAAUUCGAUGUAGGCUGAGAGAGGGAAGGAAAACGUGUUUGAUUCGCAUCUUUCGAGUACCCAUUGUCCUCCUUCUUUCUUAUCGAACAAAAAAAA